GGCGGUGUUUCCCCUGGUCAGAGAACUGGGCUGCAUCGAUCUCAUAACCCGAAGGUCGUUGGUUCAAAUCCAGCCCCCGCCGCCA
rnacentral:tRNA from 1 species